GAUGAACGCUGGCGGCGUGCCUAAUUCAUGCAAGUCGAGCGAACAGACGAGGAGCUUGCUCCUCUGACGUUAGCGGCGGACGGGUGAGUAACACGUGGAUAACCUACCUAUAAGACUGGGAUAACUUCGGGAAACCGGAGCUAAUACCGGAUAAUAUAUUGAACCGCAUGGUUCAAUAGUGAAAGACGGUUUUGCUGUCACUUAUAGAUGGAUCCGCGCCGCAUUAGCUAGUUGGUAAGGUAACGGCUUACCAAGGCAACGAUGCGUAGCCGACCUGAGAGGGUGAUCGGCAACACUGGAACUGAGACACGGUCCAGACUCCUACGGGAGGCAGCAGUAGGGAUUCUUCCGCAAUGGGCGAAAGCCUGACGGAGCAACGCCGCGUGAGUGAUGAAGGUCUUCGGAUCGUAAAACUCUGUUAUUAGGGAAGAACAAAUGUGUAAGUAACUAUGCACGUCUUGACGGUACCUAAUCAGAAAGCCACGGCUAACUACGUG
rnacentral:rRNA from 1 species